CCAGGGAACAAAGAGGAAGAAACUGAGCAGCCGUAAAGAUGAUGACAGUGCCAGUUUGGGAGAAGUGAGUGACAAAAUAGAAGAGUUGGUGUUGGCAUCUCAAAGUCUGCCAGCUGUCACAGCAGCAAUCAAAGAGCUCACUGAUCUUGCAGUUGCCCAGAAAGUCACAACCCCAAGCUGCAGACACUCAAGGAGGGAUUUAGCUGCGUGGUUUGUAUGAACAUCAUUGAGGAUCCAGUGUUCUCACUGUGCUGCAGAAGCAUUAUUGGCUGCAAGACAUGUGUGGAACAGUGGCAAGAGACAUCACAGCACUGUGCAAAAUGCAGGGAGAGUAACAACGGAGUUCUACAAAUUACUGGUCUAACAGCUGCAUUUUCUGUAUUGAAAUCUUUUUUGCAGAGGAGUAAUGUAGUGUGUACACACAAAUGUUUACAGUCAGUUGAUUUUU